CGGGCGGCCGUGACCCUGCUGGAGUGCGGGGGGGAGCUCCAGCCCCCCGGGGGGUCCCUGCGCCUCCUCUGCCGAGGGUCCGGGUUCAGUUUUGGGGAUUAUGGAAUGUACUGGAUCCGCCAGAGACCCGGGCAGGCUUUGCAAUACGUCGCAGGCAUCUACUUCAAUAGUUCCAACACCUACUACGCGCCAUCGUUCAAGGGUCGGUUCAGGAUCUCCAGGGACAACGGGCAGAGCUCGGUGACGCUGACCAUGAACAACCUCAAGGACGAGGAUUCCGCCAUU